GAAGAAGCAGUAAACAGUUGGGAAAUGCAGUCACUACCUGAGUAUAAGGAUAAAAAGGGAUAUUCACCCCUUGGUCUGCUGGAGUUUGCUGGAGGCCCACUCCAGAUGCUGUUUGCCUGGGUAUCACCAGCAGAGGCUGCAGAACAGCAAAGAUUGCUGCCUGUUCCUUCCUCUGGAAGCUUCAUCCCAGAGGGGCACCCACUAGAUGCCAGCCAGAGCUUUCCUGUAUGAGUGACAAGGGAAUUCUAAAUUGAUACACCAUCAGGAUUCACCCUCAAGAUUCAACUUCAACAUUUUUCAAAGUCCUUCAAUAAGAAGGUAAAACUCAGUUUCAAGUUUCUUUGUCAACAACAACCUUUACUCCUAUUACCAAGAAUUUCUAUUCAACAAACUGCAAAGCAGUUAUAAAAGUAAUAAAGGUAAAAAAGUGGUACCAUGA
rnacentral:sRNA from 1 species